GACGAACGCUGGCGGCGUGCUUAACACAUGCAAGUCGAACGGCAAGGCCCUGCUUUUGUGGUGUGCUCGAGUGGCGAACGGGUGCGUAACACGUGAGUAUCCUGCCCUUGACUUUGGGAUAACUUCAGGAAACUGGGGCUACUACCGGAUAGGAUCUCCUGCUGCAUGGUGGGGGUUGGAACGUUUCGGCGGUUGGGGAUGGACUCGCGGCUUAUCAGCUUGUUGGUGGGGUAGUGGCUUACCAAGGCUUUGACGGGUAGCCGGCCUGAGAGGGUGACCGGCCACAAUGGGACUGAGAGACGGCCCAGACUCCUACGGGAGGCAGCAGUGGGGAAUAUUGCACAAUGGGCGGAAGCCUGAGGCAGCAACGCCGCGUGCGGGAUGACGGCCUUCGGGUUGUAAACCGCUUUCGCCUGUGACGAAGCGUGAGUGACGGUAAUGGGUAAAGAAGCACCGGCUAACUACGUG
rnacentral:rRNA from 1 species